rnacentral:ncRNA from 1 species
AAAGGGUAAGCUGAAAACCUAAAAAAGAGUAAGCA